rnacentral:RNase_P_RNA from 1 species
CAACUUUACUGUGCGGUCGCGGGGUGAAAACCGUGAGGAAAGUCCGAGCAUCACAGAGCAGGGUAGCUGUUAACGGCAGCCGGAGGCGACUCCAGGGCGAGUGCAACAGAAAUAUACCGCAUUGUUUUUACAGUGUAAGGGUGGAAAGGCGAGGUAAGAGCUCACCACGGGGCAGGCGACUGUUCCUGUCUGUAAACCCUAUCCGAUGCAACACCGAUUGGUUUCGGGGGUAAACCGUCUGCUCGGCGGUCCCGAUUUAAGGUGGCUUGAGGUCUGCGGCGACGCAGGGCGUAGAUAGAUGAUCGCACACGACAAAACUCGGCUUACAGGUAAAGUUGCUAU